CAAAGGCUUGGUCCUGACUUUUCUAUCAGCUCUAGCUAGAUUUACACAUGCAAGUAUCCGCCCACCUGUGAGAAUGCCCUACAGUUCCUUUCCCCGGAACAAGGAGCCGGUAUCAGGCUCGCGCCCUGCAGCCCACAACACCUUGCUUAGCCACACCCCCAAGGGAGCCCAGCAGUGAUAAAUAUUAAGCCAUAAGUGAAAACUUGACUUAGUUAAAGCUUAGAGGGCCGGUAAAACUCGUGCCAGCCACCGCGGUUAUACGAGAGGCCCAAGUUGAUAUCCGCCGGCGUAAAGAGUGGUUAAGAGAACCCAAUACUAAAGCCGAACACUCUCAAAGCUGUUAUAUGCACCCGAGAGCAAGAAGCCCUCUCACGAAAGUAGCUUUAACUUUUCUGACUCCACGUAAGCUGAGGAACAAACUGGGAUUAGAUACCCCACUAUG
rnacentral:rRNA from 1 species